GGUAUUGUGGCAUAGUGGUUUGAGUGCUGGACUAUAACUUUGGAGACUAGAGUUUGAUUCCCAACUUAGCCA